GCGCGGGUUCUCGCGUGCGUGCAGCACGUUUCCUCUCGCCCACCCCGCCCUUUUUGGUCACUCAGAGGCGCGCAGCGGGCGCACGGCGAUUGGCUCCCUCGGUGGCGGCGCCACAGGACCCGCGAACUGCGUGAGCGGAGUGGGCCCUUAAGGAUCCCGUGGCUCCACAGUGUUGGUGGCUGCAGCAGCAGCAACAGCAGCAGCAGCGACAGCAGCAGCAGGAGCAGCGGAGGCAGCUGGAGCAGCAGCGGAGGCAGCUGGAGCAGCAGCAGCAGCAGAGGCAGUGGUGGUGACUACUGAGCACUGAGCACGUUUGGUUAGUUGCCCAAGAUGCCAAAUAUCAAAAUCUUCAGUGGGAGCUCCCACCAGGACUUAUCCCAGAAAAUAGCUGACCGCCUAGGCCUGGAGCUGGGCAAGGUGGUGACUAAGAAAUUCAGCAAUCAGGAGACCUGUGUGGAAAUUGGGGAAAGUGUUCGUGG
rnacentral:lncRNA from 1 species